GGACGAAAGCUAGGGGAGCGAAUGGGAUUAGAUACCCCAGUAGUCCUAGCUGUAAACGAUGGAUACUAGGUGUAGCUUGUAUCGACCCGAGCUGUGCCGAAACUAACGCGUUAAGUAUCCCGCCUGGGGAGUACGCACGCAAGUGUGAAACUCAAAGGAAUUGACGGGGGCCCGCACAAGCGGUGGAGUAUGUGGUUUAAUUCGAUGCAACGCGAAGAACCUUACCAGGGCUUGACAUGUCCGGAACCCCGGUGAAAGCUGGGGGUGCCUUCGGGAGCCGGAACACAGGUGGUGCAUGGCCGUCGUCAGCUCGUGUCGUGAGAUGUUGGGUUAAGUCCCGCAACGAGCGCAACCCUCGUCUUUAGUUGCCAGCAUUAAGUUGGGCACUCUAGAGAGACUGCCGGUGACAAACCGGAGGAAGGUGGGGAUGACGUCAAGUCAGCAUGCCCCUUACGCUCUGGGCGACACACGUACUACAAUGGUCGGGACAGAGGGCAGCUAACCUGCGAAGGCAAGCUAAUCCCAGAAACUCGGCCUCAGUUCAGAUCGCAGGCUGCAACUCGCCUGCGUGAAGGAGGAAUCGCUAGUAAUCGCCGGUCAGAAUACGGCGGUGAAUCCGUUCCCGGGCCUUGCACACACCGCCCGUC
rnacentral:rRNA from 1 species